CCGGGCCGGGGGGGGCGGGUUGGGCGGGCGGGGGGGGUUCUCUCAGGGGCUCUCGCUCGGCGCGGCCAUGGAGGCGGACGGGAGCCAGGCUACCUCGGGGAGCCCCGGAGAGGCGCAGCACGACCCCGGCAAGAUGUUCAUCGGCGGCCUCAGCUGGCAAACCUCACCAGACAGCCUUAGAGACUAUUUUAGCAAAUUCGGAGAAAUUAGGGAGUGUAUGGUCAUGCGGGACCCCACCACCAAGCGCUCCAGAGGCUUCGGGUUCGUUACGUUCGCGGAUCCGGCGAGUGUAGACAAAGUCCUGGCUCAGCCGCACCACGAGCUGGACUCCAAGACGAUUGACCCUAAAGUUGCGUUUCCCCGACGAGCACAGCCCAAGAUGGUCACAAGAACAAAGAAAAUAUUUGUAGGUGGAUUAUCGGCUAAUACAGUAGUGGAAGACGUGAAGCAAUACUUCGAACAGUUUGGCAAGGUAGAGGACGCCAUGCUAAUGUUUGACAAGACGACCAACAGGCAUAGAGGAUUUGGCUUCGUAACUUUUGAAAAUGAAGACGUGGUGGAAAAAGUCUGUGAGAUUCAUUUCCACGAAAUCAAUAAUAAAAUGGUAGAAUGUAAGAAAGCACAACCUAAAGAAGUGAUGUUUCCACCAGGGACGAGAGGAAGGGCACGUGGAUUGCCGUACACCAUGGACGCUUUUAUGCUGGGGAUGGGAAUGUUGGGUUACCCGAAUUUUGUUGCAACGUAUGGCCGAGGAUAUCCUGGAUUUGCCCCAAGUUACAGUUAUCAGUUCCCAGGUUUUCCGGCAGCGGCUUAUGGACCAGUAGCAGCGGCGGCCGUGGCAGCAGCAAGAGGAUCAGGUUUUGUUUUACGUGCAAACAGACCUGCUGUGAGAGAGGGUGUCUCUGAGGCAAACUUUCCGGCCUCUCUUACACUCGGACGUGCACACCUCCUCUCAAACACUCUUCUGAGCGCUCUCAGCGGGAAGUCUUGAAUAGCUACAGUGCUCAACCGAAUUUUGGCGCACCCGCUUCCCCGGCAGGCUCCAACCCAGCGCGACCCGGAGGCUUCCCCGGGGCCAACAGCCCCGGGCCCGUCGCGGAUCUCUACGGCACGGCCAGCCAGGACUCCGGCGUGGGUAACUACAUAAGCGCCGCCAGCCCGCAGCCGGGCUCCGGCUUCGGACACGGGAUCGCCGGACCUUUGAUUGCAACGGCUUUUACAAAUGGAUACCAUUGAAACGUUACACAUGGUUGGUUGCCAUCUCACUUGGAGAGUCUCUCUGGAUGUCCGGGCAAGACGGGGCGAAGUUUCUGAAGGGGCCCACGGUUGGGUGAUCUCAUCAGACUUUGAGCACUACAUCAUUAUCAUCAUCAUCUUCACCGCCAACACAAACUGGAGGUGGCACUCGAAGGACUUGAGUUGUUUAAAAUCUCUCUCAUCAUCUCAUGAAUCUGCUGUACUAUAAAAACAACAGCUUUUAAAAGUAUGUAUAUAAAACCCAUUUCUUGUUCGUUUUAUUUUCUCGAUGGGUCCCCCCCCCCCCUUUUUAAACCUCUCCAAACCCACAUUUUUUCGUAGCGUUUGACAUAGUCUCGUAGCCACGUAGUUGGAAUUCUUUGUGUAUCUAGCGAAGCCUAACCAUAGCGUAACUGUUAUAUUAAGGGGUUUCUUUGGUUUUUCUUUCCCACCUCCCCCCCCCCUCCCUGUUUUACGCAGUUGUUGUUGCUUAAAGGAUGCUGAGAUGGUGACAGGAGUCUCAGCCGCCGGUCCCGGCUCUGCCGCCGCCGCGGGGGGAGCGGAGCCGGCGCUGGGCACGGCACAGGGGGGCCGGUGGGGCACGAGGGGGGGUGAGCAACAGGUUCUCUAGCCCUUCUUUUCCUUUGUGGCGUCUUCGUUAACUCUAAUUCUCUCUCUAUUUUCGGCAAUAAGGCGAGGGCGACAAACUUUUUGCGCGUCCUUUUUUUCUAUAAGUGCUUUUUUCUGUUGAAAGAGGUGAUAUAAGGUUUUUUGAAAAUUGUGAAUUCUGAAAAAAAAAAAAAAAAAAGAAAAAAUAAUAAAAUGCUGUAAAUACAAUUCCAUUAACUACAUAGAAACUAUUAAGAAAGAGAAAUACAAAACCUAUUUUUGUGAUGGAGUCAGCCUAAGGCAGUUUCUCUAUGAAAAUGGAAGAAAAAAAGACAAGGACGUUGUAGCCUUUUGGAGCGACUGCCGGAGCUGGCCCGGGGUGGGUCGUGAUGCUGUGGGACCCUCCCAGCUCUCCCAGUUCAAACCAGCAGCUUCGCUCUCAGACGUGCACAGCUUACAAAGGAACAGUCUAGUGGUAUUUUUUAUUUUAAUUUAAAACCUGCUUUUUCCCAAGACUGAUCAAGAAGCUACGAUUUUUCCUACUUAACGUAUUUACGGUUCAAAGCACACCUUUGUUUUGUUUGUUGUUUUGUUUUGGUUUUUUUUUUUUAUUAUUAUUUUUCAGUCACUGUUUUAAACUAGAUCAAACUUGCUGUCCAGUCAUUUCAGCCGCUCUGGGCACCCUGCACAGCCCGGGGUCGUCCCCGCUGCGGGCAGAGCGGUGUCCAGCUCGCAUGGUUUCCUUUAUUAUCCAUCACUUUCUGUAUCAACAAAUUAGGAAGGCAACUUCGGUUGGUUUUGAUUUCUAUUUUUUUUUUUUUUUUUUUUUGGGAAUACCUCAGUGCUACAAGUUUCACCCUAGAAGCAACGGAAGAUUUUAAUUUAUUGUAGUUGUAAACAGAAUUUAAAAGAAAUAAAGUAUAAAACAUCAUUGCACUGUGACUGGUAGGGGAAAAACUGACAGUUUCCUAUUUGCACAUGUUUAAUAUUUGGCUGUUAUAUAUAUGGUCCUCUGUUGGGGGAGGAAACUUAUGAAGGAUAUUUUUUAAUUUAAUUUUUUUAAUAUUGGUAAAUAGGCCUGCAACAGCAAACUAGAAGUACAACAUGGUAGGUGGCAUUAAGAACAUACUGUAGUGUGGAUAUAUUUCUUCUUUUUUUAACGUAAUAUUGACAAGUUUUAUUAAUAUUUUUUUAAAUUGUUACGUUUAUAAAUUUGGUACUUUAGGUACAGCCAGUAUAAGACACUGAAUGCGACAUUUGUUAAAAAGAGCUGCUGCACUCCUAUUUUUGUAAAUUUUACUAACAAGUAGACUAAUGUAGACAUUCAAUAGACAAGGUAGAGCAAGGCAUCUUUAACAAAAACAAGGCACCAUACUGCUAACCGAAAGGAGAAAACCUUGUUUUUCUUGUUUUUAAAAAAAAAAAAAUCAUGCUUUUUAUGUAAUAUUUUAGGUUUUUUUCUUAUUUCAGAACAACCAGGUUUAAGCAAAAUGCUGGACGCUUUUUAAAUAUUGAGACUUGAUCAAGUAAUAAAAGAAAUAAAACGAUUCUUUAAAAAAUAAAAACGUUUAAAAAAAAAAAAAAAAAAGAACACGGACGAACCAAAUUCCCUGUGAUUCAAUGUGCCGUCAGGGAAUUUUUUAUUGCUAUUUUGUCAAUGUUGAUGAUGUACUGUACUACCAGUUGGUUUUCCUCUCCAUUCCCUGUCACCUCAUAGAAUAUUCUUUGUUGAUCAUUGUUGUAUGUUAAUAGUGUAUAAAAUGGCUUAUCUUGUAAGAGUGCUGUCCUGAUGCUAGUGUAGUGAAUUCUUCCCCCCCUCUUUCUCUCUUCCUCUUCUAGUACAUAUUGGUAGAUGUAUCGUAAUUAAGGUUAAAAAUUUAGAUGUAGUUAUUCAGAUUUAGGACCAGUAAGGAUAGAACUUUCUCUUAUUUAAGAAAAAAAAAAUGCUAAUAAUUUUGGGAAGGUUUUCCUUUUUUUUUUCGUUUCUCUUUUCUUUCUGUUUUUUUUUUUUUUUCCUCUUGUUUAUUAUUUUUCUUUUGCUGAUCUGAUGCGGUUUCAACUAACCAAAGGUCUCACAAUGUUAAAAAUGCUGGCAAACUCCUAAGGCAUUUGUAGAUCCCCACCCUUGACUUUGGAUAGGGGAUGUGCCAUACUACCUUAAAUGCUAAUGCUAGAUAUGCAAAACUGGAUUUUUUUAAUUUAUUUUUUAAAAGAGGGAGGCACGGUAUAUUAAAACGAUUUUACUAAGAGAAAAAAAAAAAAACAUAUUUUUUUAAGAAUGCUCAGAAGAAAUUGCUAAUCUGUGUGAAUAUGUUUUAGAUGUUUAUAUACCUUUUGAGAAGUCCCAGUGGCCCAUAGCACAAAUGUCGUGGAAUCCGAGAUGUUUUUGAUGUGGCUACCUAGACUAAGGUUCACGUUAGUCCCCCACUCAUCUAGAAAUCCAUUUUGAAGGAUUUUUUUUUUCUUUUCUUUUUCUUCAUUGGUUUGGGGGUUUUUUUGUAAUUUUUUUCAGCACAAAGGUUCAGCUCCACCUUUGUUUUAUUCAAGCCCAGCGAGUGAAGGAUCAUGGAAUCAUGAACUGGUUUGGGCUGAAGGGACCUUAAAGACCAUCCAGUUCCACCCCCUGCCGUGGGCAGGGUCACCUUCCACUGGACCAGGUUGCUCCAAGCCCCGUCCAACCUGGCCUUGGACACCUCCAGGGAUGGGGAGUCCACGACCUCUCUGGGCAUCCCUCAUUCCAAGGGAUAUUGCCCUUUGCUUUCCAAAUCUCUCACACAGACUCGCUGCCCCCAGAAUGACCAAAAAGAGAGAUUUCCACCCUGCUGGGGGACCUGGGCACCCAGAGUGCCAGCGGGUCCAUCCCUGCCCGGCUGUGCCGUGGGACGGGCCAUGUCCCCAACACCAGGGACAUUUUACAGGAGCCACAAGACCUCGGGGACCCUCCCCUGUCAAGUAAUCCAAGUCCUUUGGGAUCAGCUUGAUUAAAACUAAGCCUGAUCUGUCCUUUGGGGUUUUUAAUUUUUCUUAUACUUCCUAAAUGUUCAUUUUGAGUUGAAUUUGUAGCUUGGACUUUAAGGUAGCAUGGCUCUCUUUGCUGUAAGUUAAUUUUUUUCCAUUGUACAGCAGCAUCUGCUGGUGAAUGUCACACAUCUUGC